GUACCAUCCAUGAUCAUCAUUCAAUACAACCCAGAGAAAAAUAAAUACAGCAAAGCAUUCAUGAUAAAGUUAAUUUGCACUUUAUGAAGGAAGAGGAAGUAGAAAGUAGUCAAGUUUUAAAUUGCAAAUAUUUCCAGAUAUGGGGUGGCGUCAUUGACGAUACUGCAGCACUUUAUGGUAAUUCAGCCAGGAUUUGCAUGGAUCUUUUUUUUCAACUAUAUUUUAAUUGAUUGAGUGAGUCAAGGAGGUGAAAUUGGUUACAUUCAUUAUUUGUUCAUUUUCAAUCAAAAACAAUUAUCAGUAGUUUAAGCACAAAAUAAUAUAACAUUUAGUAGUUUUAUCAGUACAAUUACCUCAUAAUGCUGGCAACAGCUCUUUCUGCAGCAGAUAGUCCAUUAGAAGUUAGAUUGGGUACACGAUUGCAUAGCACUGCUGCUGUUAACUUUUGAAAUUGACAUUCUGCACCAGUAUCAAAUUGUGUACGUUUCCAUUUUUUCACAGAUAGGCUAAAGCAUCAUACUAAUGUAUAUGCCUACUAACUAGGCAGUACAGAGUGAGAUACACCUGACAUUGCAUAUUUCAAACGCUGGCACUGAAUUUAAAACUUCAGGGGAGCAUUCAGGAAGUCUGUCAAUGUUCUAACAACUUUACUACAACGUUGAACUGCGGCGUGUUAAAAACUUAGGGAAGCAUUCAGGAAGGAAAAACAUUACAAAAGGAAGUCUCAACCAUCCUGACAAUUUUCAUAAAUGCUCAAGGCAACGUUCAUGAACAUUAUUACAACGUCGGGCUGUGGUGUGUCGAAUACCGCCACCUUGAAAGUGCUAGGGCCACCCACCCACAAAUACUUCUAUAUUAUACUUCUCAUAUUGAUAUCUCUUAAUACAUUUUUUGGAUUGUGCUUAUUUUGUUAUAUUGCUAGGUAUUACUGCACUGUCGGAGCUAGAAACACAAGCAUUUCGCUACACCUGCAAAUCUGUGUACACGACCAAUACACAUAAUUUGAUUACUUUGCAGUUUACAUACCCACACUCAACUCUAUCCUCUGGAUGUGCAUCCUUCUGUAUUGUCAGCAACACUAUAUUCUUUGGUUUGUCACGGUGUCCUUUUGAUUCAUACGCUCACCUGUACCAAGGCUAUAAAGAACUGAAGUACCCACACAAUUCACCAGUAGUUCCUAAUUCACUCCACUAACUGAAGCUAUUCAAAAAACAGUAUCAAUACUGAUAUAGUAGUACUGUACCCAAUAUAUGCAGUACCAAUGAAGUAGUGAUUCUAUCACAUUCUAGAGAACAUAGAAUAUCAAAUCACAAAGAACAGUUUUCAAAGACCUGUAGCAUUCACAAGGCCGUAGGGCCAGACGGAUUACCAGGACGUGCACUCCGAGCAUGCGCUGACCAACUGGCAAGUGUCUUCACUAACAUUUUCAACCUGUCCCUAACGGAGUCUGUAAUACCAACAUGUUUCAAGCAGACCACCAUAGUCCCUGUGCCCAAGAACAUUAAGGUAACCUGCCUAAAUGACUACCAACCCAUAGCACUCAUGUCUGUAGCCAUGAAGUGCUUUGAAAGGCUGGUCAUGCCUCACAUCAACAGCAUCCUCCCGGAUACCGCCCCAACAGAUCCACAAUCUCUGUUGCACUCCACACUGCCCUUUCCCAUCUGGACAAAGCUCAGCGUUCAAAGCUCAUCACUAAGCUAAGGACCCUGGGACUAAAUACCUCCCUCUGCAACUGGAUCCUGGACUUCCUGACGGGCCGCCCCCCAGGUGGUAAGGGUAGGCAACAACACAUCUGUCACGCUGAUCCUCAACACGGGAGCCCCUCAGGGGUGCGUGCUCAGUCCCCUCCUGUACUCUCUGCUCACCCAUGACUGCAAGGCCAGGCACGACUCCAACACCAUCAUUAAGUUUGCCGACGACAACAGUGGUAGGCCUGAACACCGACAACGACGAGACAGCCUAUAGGGAGGUCAGAGACCGGGCCAUGUGGUGCCAGGAUAACAACCUCUCCCUCAACGUGAUCAAGACAAAGGAGAUGAUUGUGGACUACAGGAAAAGGAGGACAAAGCACACCCCCAUUCUCAUCGACAGGGCUGUAGUGGAUCAGGUUGAGAGCUUCAAGUUCCUUGGUGUCCACAUCACCAACAAACUAUCAUUGUCCAAACACCCCAAGACAGCCGUGAAGAGGGCACGAUAAAGCCUAUUCCCCCUCACGAGACUGAAAAGAUUUGUCAUGGGUCCUCAAAAAGUAUAACAGCUGCACCAUCGAGAGCAUCCUGACUGGUUGCAUCACUGCCUGGUAUGGCAACUGCUCGGCCUCCGAUCGCAAGGCACUAGAGGGUAGUGCGUACGGCCCAGUAUAUCACUGGGGCCAAGCUUCCUGCCAUCCAGGACCUAUACCAGGCGGUGUGUCAAAGGCCCUAAAAAUGUUCAAAGACUCCAGCCACCCUAGUCAUAGACUGUUCUCUCUGCUACCGCACGGCAAGCGGUACCGGGGCACCAAGUCUAGGUCCAAAAGACUUAACAGCUUCUACCCCCUGAACAGCAAAUCAAAUGUCUACCCAGACUAUUUGCAUUGUCCCUCCACCCUGUUUUACACUGCUGCUACUCUCUGGUUAUUAUCUAUGCAUAGUAACUAACUCUACCUACAUACAUAUUACCUCGACUAACCGGUGCCCCCGCACAUUGAGUCUGUACCGGUACCCCCUGUAUAUAGCCUCGCUACUGUUAUAUUACUGCUGCUCUUUAAUUAUUUGUUCAUUUUAUUUCUUACUUAUCGAUUUUUUACCUAAGACUUAUUAUUCUUAAAACUGCUUUGUUGUAAGGUUACACCUGUUGAACUCGGCGCAUGUGACAAAUCAAAUGUUAUUUGAUUUAGUGUUCUGAUGAUGCUUGAGUGAUGUCCACCAUGACAUUCCACUAAUGAUAUUCAACAAGCACCUCUGAUACUCUGCGUCUUAAAUGGCACCGUAUUCCCUAUACAGUGCACUACUUUUGACCGGGGACCAUGGGGCAGUAGUGCACUAUAUAGGGAAUCGGUUGCCAUUUUGGACACACCCUCGGUCUAAGCUAAUGCCGAUUAGAGCCAACCUGAUCAUAGAAAGGUGUUGAUACUGUUUGUAUUGAGGAGAUGUGACUUCCACUCAUUGGGGAAUGGGAGGAUAUAGUAGGAAAACAAGUGAGAAGAGACAGACGCAGAUAUAUAACAAGAGAGACGCAGCUAUAUAAUGAGAAAGCGAGACAGAUAUAACGAGAGAGAGACAAGCAGCUGUCCCAGUUCCCUGUAGCCCCAUCCUUUACCACUAAUCUGUACCAAGGGCCAGAGGCUGGCCCGUCUCCCCACCCAUCCCUCUGCUAACACAUCUGGGUGGACAAGAUAAGGCCACCAAGACUCUCACACAGAGAGAGAGGAGGGCACAAGGGGAUGUAGAAAGGAGGCUAGCACAUUGGGUUUUUGUUUGUGUCCUGCUGUGCAUUUGUUCCUGUUCCAUCUCUCUGGAUCUCUAACUCUCUACAUCAGCACAUUUAAAGAGCUUGAUCAGUGGUCCGAUCACACACACACACACACAGCUUAUUAAAACAGGCAAACCAAGCAGAAGAGCGAGAGAGGGACCAUUACAAAACCAGUCAAGUUUCCUCCAAUUAAAAUCUGAGACAAGACAAAAAGCUUUUCCUCUGAGUUUCAACCACAAACCAUGAAAACCUCCCCCAUCUUCAUACACACACACACAGACAAAAGUGGAAGAAAGAAAAUAGCCCUUACACAAGCCUCAGACAGAUGACAUGAUGUAGCCUGGCCAAGCCAUGGCAGUGCUUUCAUUUCGUAACAUGGAGAUUAGAAUACAAUCAAGCAGUGUGCCAACCAUUUCAGCAGCUAACCCUACCGUACCGCUCCUCCUUUCCGCACCAACCGGUCUCCAUAUAGGUAGUCUGUUAAUAUCAUACAACAUUUAAUGACCACAUCCCACCAUUAGAGCCCCAAUGUAAACUGUACCAUGGUACACAUUUUCAAAGGGACUGUAAGAAAAAAACUGAAUUAAAGUUUAUAGCCCCUAUGAUAUUACCCUUAUUUGAUGAUAAACUGCUGCUUCAAGCUUUCAUGGGAUAAAGGGAAAGGGGGAUACCUAGUCAGUUUUACAACUGAACGCCUUCAACUGAAAAUGGGUCUUCAGCAUUUAACCCAACCCUCUGAAUCGAGGCAAAUUGAUGAGGUGACUGCUGAUCGGCAUGUUGGUCAGGAAGGUAAAAGGUGGGGAAUAUGAGCGUUAAAGACAAAAUCCGGCCAAAACCACUAAUUGGUAUAAUUUACAGUGUUAAAUAACACUAUGUGAGAUCACUAAUUCUGGUGAACAAAUGUUGCAUUUUAUCGUUAUAAUAAGGUUGGUAGCAACAUGUGGAAAUCUGUUGCAGCUCAGAUUGACUACCAAACCCAUAAUGCAAUGCUCCCUCUAUGGGCUGGCUGGCUAGCUUGGUCGGUAGCUAGCUAGCAAGCGUAGCUAGACACAAUAACACCAAAGACAAUAUCAGCAUGUGAAGUAGCGAGUUGGCUGUAAAGAAAAUCACCUAAACUGCACUAUGAAUUUAGGAGUCUACAAGCUCACCAUGUUCAACCUGCAGUUCGAUGUACCUCGCAGAGUGGAGUCUGACAUUCACAAUGGCCAUGCAACGGCACCAUACAAUGCACCCUGGACUGAAGAGGCAGACAAAUAGGAGAAAUGUGGUGGACCCUCAUAAGAAAUUGAGGUAGGAAUAUUGCAAAAAUAUGAUCAUUGGCUAAUUUGAGAGAAAAUAACCUCCCGCGACAUGACAUCAAGCCAGUAUUGAAAUCUGACAUGUAUGAUAGACGUUUCCGCGAUCUAAAAGUCGUAUUCAAAUUAACUUCCAGUGUAGUGAGAGCAGCUUUAUUUCGGCCUGCUUGAACGGCAAUAGCCCAGAUAAACAUGAAAUUACCCCAGGAAUAGAUAUAACGUCGCUCAGAGAUGAACAAAAAUAAUAUAGCAUUCAAAAUGGGUGAAUCUUUCCUUUAAGAGUACGGACUGACUCUGGGUCAGUGAGUAGAUACCUUUCUUAUAGGGUGGUAGAUUGAAGAAGCAAAGGCUCCUCGAAACACCCAUCCGGUGGCUCUUUGGUGCGUUACGUCACAUAGUAAGUGUUGAAAUGGAAGGACAACCCUGGGUUAUACCAUUCAAGAUAGAUGGAGGGGAACCAUAGCCCUCCCAGAGGGAGUCUGGAGUCACAUAGAAAAACAAUAAACAAUGUUAAAAAUACCUGAGAGAGAGAGAGAAAGGAAGUAUGAGAACGAGAAAGGGGUAGUGAGCAAACAGAAAAAGGGAUAAAAAGAAUAGAAAGAAAAUACUAUUUGUUCAAAGACAUUGUCCCACACCAAAU
rnacentral:lncRNA from 1 species